rnacentral:misc_RNA from 1 species
GAUGAAGAACGUAGCGAAAUGCGAUACGUAGUGUGAAUUGCAGAAUUCAGUGAAUCAUCGAAUCUUUGAACGCACAUUGCACCUCUCGGUAUUCCGGGAGGUAUGCCUGUUCGAGCGUCAUUUGUACCCUCAAGCUCUGCUUGGUGUUGGGUGUUUGUUCCGCCUCUGUGUGUGAACUCGCCUCAAAACAAUUGGCAGCCGGCGUACUUGUUUCGGAGCGCAGCACAUUUUGCGAUCCAGAUCAACGUACAGCGGCAUCCAAGAAGCCUUAUUUAACGCUCUUGACCUCGGAUCAGGUAGGGAUACCCGCUGAACUUAAGCAUAUCAUAGCGGAGA